AUGAACAGCUCAUCGAAAGAUGGGAUAAUACAUGAUGGUCUUACAGUUGCUUAGUGCUUCUGUAAAUAAAGUUCCGGCGCUUCAAGAGGGGUCCGCGUCCUAUCAGCUUGUUGGUGAGGUAAUGGCUCACCAAGGCUAAGACGGGUAACUGGCGUGAGAGCGCGGUCAGUCACCAUGGAACUGAGACACGGUCCAUACUCCUACGGGAGGCAGCAAUUAGGAAUCUUGCGCAAUGGGGGCAACCCUGACGCAGCGACACAGCGUGGAGGAUGAAGGUCUUCGGAUUGUAAACUCCUUUUAUAUGGGAAGAAUCAAUGACGGUACCAUAUGAAUAAGCACCUGCUAACUACGUGCCAGAAGCAUCGGUGAUGCGUAGGGUGCGAACGUUAUCCGGAUUUAUUGGGCGUAAA
rnacentral:rRNA from 1 species